CUAAACCAUCUGCCGCAGAGCCCCCUGCAGCUCUGUGCCAGCCUCUGGGUGUCUAGAGACAAGCCCUAAUAGGCCCGUCCGUGUCCUGCACCCCCAUUCCAUUCCUCCCACCAGCCCUGCACCUCCUCUCCCGCAGAGUCCCCCCCCCCACAAGCCCAAGGCCUGGCUCAGGCUCUCCAUUCCAGGAGACAGGUCACGUCCACCACCCCGGGGUGCGGUGCGAGCCAAACUAAUCAAUGGCAGAGCGGUAGAUUAAGGGGCCCAGCUCGGAGCCAUCCAUCACUGUCGUUUACCCGGGCCUGUCAGCCUGCAAAUGGAAAAGGAGAUGAUGUGAAACAACCCAUCUGCAGGUUUUUAACGCUCUUUACAAAUUGCCGUGGUUGAAGGUCUCAGGAUCCCUCAACCACCCCUCACGCAGCAUGGUAUAAAGACCCCGGGACAUGCCAUUCCUUCCCCUCUGAAUACCACCCAUUUGUCAAUGUCCUUGCUCCAUUGUGACUCCCGGGAUGAAAUGCAAGGCUCCAGAUGUGAUCUGGUCACUGCCAAGCAAAGGGACAUGCCAUCAUCUGCCCUGCUCUGGGCGCUGUGCUUCGGCUCAAGAACCCUCUUUUCAGUCAUCUUUCUUCAGCGCCUUCUACAGCACUUCCCUCAGCCAAGGUGCUUGCUCGGUGUCUCUGCUGAGCAGCUGCGACAGGCUGCCUGAUUGAUUUUGCCUGUUGUGAGGUUUAUGGCGGUGAGCAGGGGCUGUCCAGGGAGGAGCAGACAGGGGAGUCAGUCCAAAUAGCACCAACGCGGGAAUGCCCGUGGAGCUUGUAAAUAGCGCGAUCGAGGGGCUUUGAGUCUCUGGGUUGGAAAAUUUAUUAA